AAUAGAUGACGCCGUUGACUUUUUCUCACAUGUUUGACCAUUCGUCUUAUUCAAAAAAUUUACGUAAUUAUAAUUUAUUUUGUUAUGAAUUGUUUUAUCACUCAUAGUAGUUGAAGUGUGAUUUGUAUCUUAUACAUUUGUAUAAAAUUUUUUGAAUAAGACGAAUAGUCAAACAUGUGAGAAAAGUCAACGGCAUCAUCUAUU
rnacentral:pre_miRNA from 1 species